rnacentral:rRNA from 1 species
GACGAACGCUGGCGGCGUGCUUAACACAUGCAAGUCGAACGGAAAGGCCCUGCUUUUGUGGCGUGCUCGAGUGGCGAACGGGUGAGUAACACGUGAGUAACCUGCACCUGACUUUGGGAUAAAUCCAGGAAACUGGGGCUAAUACCGGAUAGGAGCUCCUGCUGCAUGGUGGGGGUUGGAAAGUUCCGGCGGUUGGGGAUGGACUCGCGGCUGAUCAGCUUGUUGGUGGGGUAGUGACUUACCAAGGGUUUGACGGGUAGCCGGCCUGAGAGGGUGACCGGCCACAUUGGGCCUACGGUACGGACCAGAAUCGUACGGUAGGCAGCAGGGGGGAAUAUUGCGGAAUGGGCGGAAGCCUGAUGCAGCAACGCCGCGUGCGUGAUGACGGCCUUCUGGUUGUAAACCGCUUUCGACUGUAACGAAGAGUGAGUGACGGUAAUGGGUAAGAAAGCACCGGCUAACUACGUG